CAUGUUUCCUGUUUGUUGUUUGUGCUGUGUUGCAGAAUGAAUAUCUGCCGAAGAUUUUAAGAUGGCUUUAAGAUCCUAGUACCCACAGUGCUUAGACUGACUCAAAGGAAAUCUCCCCUUGCACAUCUGGCUUUGGAGGAAAGAGGCUGCCCUCACCGAAGAUGUCCCUGGGAUUGAUUUCAGAGCUGCAAUCCUGCUGUUGCCGAUCCUGUUCAGGGAGAAAAAUGACAUUCUCAUCAUACUUGGAGAGGAUCAGCCUGGUUGUAGCGCUAUCCUAUUGCAUGCAGAGGGAGUUUGAAAG